rnacentral:rRNA from 1 species
ACUCCUACGGGAGGCAGCAGUGGGGAAUAUUGCGCAAUGGGCGGAAGCCUGACGCAGCGACGCCGCGUGGGGAUGACGGCCUUCGGGUUGUAAACCUCUUUCGCCAGGGACGAAUGUGGACGGUACCUGGAGAAGAAGCACCGGCUAACUCCGUGCCAGCAGCCGCGGUAAUACGGAGGGUGCGAGCGUUAAUCGGAAUUACUGGGCGUAAAGCGCAUGCAGGUGGUUUGUUAAGUCAGAUGUGAAAGCCCGGGGCUCAACCUCGGAACUGCAUUUGAAACUGGCAGACUAGAGUACUGUAGAGGGGGUGAGAAUUUCAGGUGUAGCGGUGAAAUGCGUAGAGAUCUG